rfam:Turneriella parva DSM 21527, complete genome.
GGUCAAGUAUUUAAGGGCGUACGAAGGAUGCCUUGGCACUACCAGGCGAUGAAGGACGUGGUUACCUGCGAUAUGUCCCGGUGAGCUGGAAGCAAGCUUUGACCCGGGAAUCUCCGAAUGAGAAAACUCUGUACGGCAAAACCGUAUAAACUCCGCAAGGAGUGGCUAAACUCAGGGAAUUGAAACAUCUUAGUACCUGAAGGAAAAGAAAGUAAAAACGAUUUCGUUAGUAGCGGCGAGCGAACGCGAAAGAGCCUAAACCGGUGUUAUGUCAAGCUUGAGGGCGUUGUGACAUUGGUGUUGUAGGGCUGGCAUGGGUUCACCUCAAUGGACCUGCAAAGUUACCAAAUUGCCAUGUAAGAGAAGUGUUUGGGAAAACACGCCAUAGCGGGUGAUAGCCCCGUAUCUGAAACAUGUGUGAUCUUUGAGCCAGUACCUGAGUACCACGGAGUACGUGAAGUUCCGUGGGAAUCUGCGAAGACCAUUUCGUAAGGCUAAAUACUAGGUAGUGACCGAUAGUGAACAAGUACUGUGAAGGAAAGGUGAAAAGCACCGCGAGAGCGGAGUGAAAUAGAUCCUGAAAUCGUACGCUUACAAGGUAUGGAAGCCCGCAAGGGUGACCGUGUGCCUUUUGUAGCAUGAGCCUGCGAGUUACUGUAUGCAGCAAGGUUAAGGGAUUGAAGUCCCGGAGCCGAAGCGAAAGCAAGUCUGAAUAGGGCGAUUUAAGUUGCAUGCUUUAGACCCGAAGUUGAGUGAUCUAGCCUUGGUCAGGAUGAAGUGGCGGUAACACGCCAUGGAGGUCCGAACUCGUGAAUGUUGAAAAAUUCUGAGAUGAACUGAGGCUGGGGGUGAAAGGCCAAUCAAACUCAGCGAUAGCUGGUUCUCCUCGAAAUGUAUUUAGGUACAGGGUUCGAUGUUUCGUUGUGGGGGUAGAGCGCUGUUUGGGCUAGGGGCCUUACCCGGUUACCAAACCCAGGCAAACUACGAAUACCACAACGUUAGAGUCGAGCACUGAGUCAGUGGGUGAUAACGUUCAUUGGCGAGAGGGAGACAACCCGGACCGACAGCUAAGGUUCCUAAAUCUAUGCUAAGUGAUAAAGGAUGUUCAAUCGCACAGACAAUUAGGAGGUUGGCUUAGAAGCAGCCACCCUUUAAAGAGUGCGUAAUAGCUCACUAAUCGAGCGAUUGGGCGCCGAAAAUGUACGGAUCUAAGCAUAGUACCGAAGCUUCGGAUGUCAGCAGCAAUGUUGGCGUGGUAGAGGAGCGUUCCUACAGCGGCGAAGGUAUAGCGAGAGCAGUGCUGGAGCGGUAGGAAGUGAGAAUGCAGGCAUGAGUAGCGAAAAUGACGGUUAAAUUCCGUCACACCGUAAGCCCAAGGGUUCCGCAGCAAGGUAACUCCGCUGCGGGUUAGCCGGUUCCUAAGGCAAGGCCGAAAGGCGUAGUCGAUGGUAACCUGGUUUAUAUUCCAGGGCUUAGUUUAAGUGGUUUGAGCGAUGGGGUGACGCAAGAAGAUAGGGAAUCAGCCUAAUGGAUGGCUGUAUAAGGUCGUAGGCGUUGAGAUGAUCAGGUAAAUCCGGUCGUUGAGCUGAAAGCUGAUAUCGAGUGGGCCUUCGGGUUUCACGAAGUUUCUGAUUCUAUGCUGCCUAGAAAAACCUCUAAGUGACACUUGAACUAAACCGUACCCUAAACCGACACAGGUGGGCGAGGAGAGAAUCCUCAGGUGCGCGAGAGAAACCUCGUUAAGGAACUCGGCAAAAUAACCCCGUAACUUCGGGAGAAGGGGUGCCUCAUUAUCGUGCAAGCGAGAAGGGGCUGCAAUAAAGAGUCCGCGGCGACUGUUUACCAAAAACACAGGUCUCUGCAAACACGUAAGUGGAUGUAUAGGGGCUGAUACCUGCCCGGUGCUGGAAGGUUAACAGGAGAUGUUAGCAGUAAUGCGACGCAUUGAAUCGAAGCCCCAGUAAACGGCGGCCGUAACUAUGACGGUCCUAAGGUAGCGAAAUUCCUUGUCGGGUAAAUUCCGACCUGCACGAAUGGUGUAACGACUGUGGAACUGUCUCAACGAGGAUCUCGGCGAAAUUGUAGUGGCAGUGAAGAUGCUGCCUACCCGCAGUGGGACAGAAAGACCCCGUGAACCUUUACUGUAACUUGGCAUUGGUUUUCGGCUUUGUAUGUGUAGGAUAGGUGGGAGACUUUGAAGUUGCGGCGCUAGCCGUGAUGGAGUCGUCCUUGAAAUACCACCCUUACGAAAUUGAAAACCUAACCUGGCGUUACUUUUGUGUUCGAAUUUGUCCGGCCUUUGGCCGGCCAAAUUCGUAAAAAGACGACAAGAGCCUUGGAUAGGAUAAAGCUGCGCUUAACGCUCAUCCGUGAGCGGCGCAAGCCCUCGCACCUCGUGUGCUUGGGUUCACAAUCUUCUGUUUCUAAAUUUUUUAGGAUAAGAGUUAACGAGUAUUAUUUAUCUAAGGCUCCGGUUCGAACAUAAAAGCAACGUCAGGGACAAUGUCAGGCGGGCAGUUUGACUGGGGCGGUCGCCUCCCAAAGAGUAACGGAGGCGCCCUAAGGUUCCCUCAGCACGGUUGGAAAUCGUGCGAAGAGUGUAAAGGCAUAAGGGAGCUUGACUGUAAGACUUACAAGUCGAGCAGGGACGAAAGUCGGGCUUAGUGAUCCGGUGGUUUCCGAAUGGAAGGGCCAUCGCUCAACGGAUAAAAGGUACUCCGGGGAUAACAGGCUUAUCGCGUCCAAGAGUCCAUAUCGACGACGCGGUUUGGCACCUCGAUGUCGGCUCGUCGCAUCCUGGGGCUGGAGCAGGUCCCAAGGGUUUGGCUGUUCGCCAAUUAAAGCGGCACGCGAGCUGGGUUCAGAACGUCGUGAGACAGUUCGGUCCGUAUCCACUGUGGGCGUUGGAAAUUUGAGAGGACUUGUCCCUAGUACGAGAGGACCGGGAUGAACGAACCUCUGGUGUACCGGUUGUGGCGCCAGCUGCAACGCCGGGUAGCUAUGUUCGGAAGGGAUAACCGCUGAAAGCAUCUAAGCGGGAAGCCUCCCUCAAGAUAAGAUUUCCCUGGUGGGGUUCGCCCCAUCCUGAAGACCCCUGGCAAACUACCAGGUUGAUAGGCUAUAGGUGUAAACAGGGUUAACCUGUGAGCCAAGUAGUACUAAUCGGUCGUGAGGCUUGACCAU